UGUGUCGUGUGUGUGUGUGUGUGUGUGUGUGUGUGUGAUGGGGAUGAGGAUGGUUUGAAACAGGGCUUCAUUUAGCCUAGGCUAGCUUUGGACUCUUCAUUUUCCUGUCUUUGUCUCCCAAAUUCUAGGUUUACUGGCACGAGCCACAGGUUUCUGUGCUUAGAACAAAUAUUUUGCUCUAAGCACAAAUUCAUUGUGUCUAUCUUGUAAGUAAAACAGGGCAAUAUGGGCCCUGUUGCCUCCAUUCUGGUAGGGACGGAGGACAAACAGGCAAACACUGAGUAGUGCAAAUAAAUACAACGACUGGAAUAAGAAAGAUAAAUGCUAUGAAGAGGCCAUGAGUGGUCUGUCAAUUGUGAGUCAGAGUAUACUUUCGGGCAAAUGGCUUAACCUCUGAGCUGUUAAAUAAUGUGUCCACCGUUAACUCUACUUUAAAAUUUGCCCCCUUGUGACGGUGCCGUUGAAUCAUUGCCUGUGGUCUGUUUGCCUUUGCACCGUGGCAAGGACCAGUCGCUAAGGAGACCGUUCCAAUGUCACUUUCUAGUGGUUGCUAAUUCUGGCUUGCAAGGUUUGUGGCUGGUCUACCAGACAUUCCUCAAGGGGCAGUCCUACCAUGGGGUUUCUGCUCACCUUUGCUGAAGUCAGAAUUUCAGGUCACUCCAGGAGAGAUGAAGCAGAAAACUGUGACCCAAGAAGGCCUGGCAUCAGAAUGUGUGUUGUGCUCCUGGCUCUGUCCUGAGUGACUCGUUGGCUUUAAUUACUGACUUGUCUCAGCACCAGCUCCUUGCUGUGUUUAAAAGGACUGAAAUGGGAGAUGUUCUUGGACUUGGCCGUGUCUGUAUGGAAACACUGGGGAUCAGAAGGAGACUCCAUUCAUCAUCUUAAUGGGAUUUUAUUUUUGUUAAGGUAAAACUUGAAGUUCAAAUGGAAGAGCAGGUAUCUUUAAAUAGUCAAGAAAAGCAUAUAAAAGGAUACAAGAUAUUAAAAGUACCUUCAGAACUCUAACGAAAUGGUUUGUUAUUGAUGUUAAGUAAGAUAAAUAGAUCAGAGGGACAGGACAGUAGCUUCAGACAUAAAGUCCCGGUGUCCAUGAGACCUGCUGUGUAUCAAAAGUGGCACCACAGCCUACUAAAAUAAGCGGCACUCGCAAAGUUGGCUGUACAUGUGGAAGAAAACAGAAUGCACGCCCUUUACUUCAUCAUGGAGCCAAACGGAUUUGAGAGAGUAAUAAAUAUGCCGAUAUCUAUUAAAAUGAACAAUGCACUUCAGUUCUCACCAUGCACAGCGAGCACAACGCGACCCGAUGGAAAUAAAGCAUCCAUCUAUAAGAA